GAUGAACGCUGGCGGCGUGCCUAAUACAUGCAAGUCGAGCGAACGGACGAGAAGCUUGCUUCUCUGAUGUUAGCGGCGGACGGGUGAGUAACACGUGGAUAACCUACCUAUAAGACUGGGAUAACUUCGGGAAACCGGAGCUAAUACCGGAUAAUAUUUUGAACCGCAUGGUUCAAAAGUAAAAGACGGUCUUGCUGUCACUUAUAGAUGGAUCCGCGCGGCAUUAGCUAGUUGGUAAGGUAACGGCUUACCAAGGCAACGAUGCAUAGCCGACCUGAGAGGGUGAUCGGCCACACUGGAACUGAGACACGGUCCAGACUACUACGGGAGGCAGCAGUAGGGAAUCUUCCGCAAUGGGCGAAAGCCUGACGGAGCAACGCCGCGUGAGUGAUGAAGGUCUUCGGAUCGUAAAACUCUGUUAUUAGGGAAGAACAUAUGUGUAAGUAACUGUGCACAUCUUGACGGUACCUAAUCAGAAAGCCACGGCUAACUACGUG
rnacentral:rRNA from 1 species